GUUGCAGAUACCUGGUGACGUUUAGCCCCCUGAUGGACAAUCAGGAUGACCCUCAGGCCAUCAUCUGGGACAUCCUUACUGGGCAGAAGAAGAGAGGUUUUCACUGUGAAAGCUCAGCCCACUGGCCUAUUUUUAAGUGGAGCCAUGAUGGUAAAUUCUUUGCCAGAAUGACACUCGACACCCUCAGCAUCUAUGAAACCCCUUCAAUGGGCCUCUUGGACAAGAAGAGCCUGAAGAUCUCUGGCAUAAAGUAAGUGACUGUCCCUCCAAGCUGCUUUAAAAUGCUCUCCUUCCGCUGGCACUGGGCUCUUACACAGCUAGAGGAAACACUACUUGGUGUCCCAGACAUGGGGACGGCACAGCCACCUGGGCUGCUGCUCGGCACUGGGCCUGCUCACAGCCCUCGCCGUCAGAAGUCCUCUUCCCUUCACGUGGCGCCUCCUAUGGGCCACAUUCAGGUCUGUUCACGUCACGUUCUUGCCUGGGGACGAGAGCUGCAGCCUUCGGGGGGUGGGUGACAGUCUCCUCUGUUCCCUGGUGACCCAUGCAGUGGGGCUCCGGGCCUUCAGUGAAUCGCGGCUCGUGCGCUCUGUCAAAG